GAAAUGCGAUAAGUAGUGUGAAUUGCAGAAUUCAGUGAAUCAUCGAAUCUUUGAACGCACAUUGCGCCCCUUGGUAUUCCAUGGGGCAUGCCUGUUCGAGCGUCAUUUGUACCUUCAAGCUUUGCUUGGUGUUGGGUGUUUGUCUCGCCUCUGCGUGUAGACUCGCCUCAAAACAAUUGGCAGCCGGCGUAUUGAUUUCGGAGCGCAGUACAUCUCGCGCUUUGCACUCAUAACGACGACGUCCAAAAGUACAUUUUUACACUCUUGACCUCGGAUCAGGUAGGGAUACCCGCUGAACUUAGGC
rnacentral:misc_RNA from 1 species